CUUCUCGCCACAACCAACCUCGCCCGCACUUCCUUGCUGCUUCCCAGCACGCACGUUCAAGUAGCUUGUGUCCACCAUGCGCCCGCCACCUGCUCGAAGAGCGGCGCCCGCCACCUGCUCGACGGAAUGCCCCACGGAACACGGGCCAGCUCCAUCGUGCGCGCGCUCAGGGUCAACGCGUGCCUCGCCGCGGACGCCGUGGCCGCUCUCCACUGCGCGUCCCUCAAUUCUGUCGCGGUGCUGGACCGGCCCGUGCGCACCUCCCUCCUCACGGCCUACGCCAGGAGAAGGGGCGACGUGCGUGCUGCUCUGGCGUUGUUCAACGAGGCCGUCCACCCGGACGUCAUUCUGUGGAACGCCACGAUCGAUGCUCACACACAGAGCUGCCGUCUGGGCGACGCCGUGGUUCUGUUCCGGCGGAUGGCGUUUGUGUUCGGGGCGUUCGAUUCGACCACCCUCGUCAUCAUGCUGUCGGGGGCGUUGCGUGCCAGAGACAUGGACCUUGGGAUUGCACUCCAUGCUGCGGCCGUGAAGAGACGCCUCAACACUGAACUGAACCCUCAGAAUGCACUCGUGGACAUGUAUGCGAAGUGUUCGGAGGCUGUGUUUUGGAUGAUGCCGUGUUGGGACACUACCUCAUGGAAUUCUAUGAUAGGUGGAAGCACAUUUAAUGGAUUUUCUGAUAUUUCAGCUCAAUAGUUCAGGGCGAUGAUCCGUUUGGCGGUUCAGGCAGAUGAGGUGACCAUGUCUUGUGUCCUUUCAUCCGCUUCUCGCACAGACAAUCUUUUGUCCAUUGGGGAGUCUGUCCAUGGCUGUGUGGUCAAGCUUGGUUACAAGGACACCGCAUCUUGCUCGAUGGUGAAUUUUCUCAUAACAUUUUAUUCAGAGCUUGGUUUUCCAGAUGCAGAGAAUGUCUUUGCAGGCGUUUCCAGUAAAACUUUGGUAUCAUGGAAUGGUAUGAUUAAGGGAUUGGCGGAGAAUGAAAAGGUCAGCGAAGCGCCCUUUGUUUUCCAAGAAAUGAUAACAGGGUACCAGCCAGAUCAUGCCACUUUGGUGACUGUAAUUUCUGGCUGUGCUGAUCAAGGACUACUCUGUGAAGGGAAAGAAACCCACGGAUACAUAGUCAGAAAAGGCCUUCUCCAUGAGGAGUCUUCUGUAGGAAAUAGCUUACUUGGCCUAUAUAUGAAAUGUCAUGACUCAGUUACUGCUAACCUUUGGUUCAGGACAAUGCCAAUAAGAGACCUGAUCUCAUAGAACACAAUGCUUUCUGGUUACUCAAGAGAUAACUUGCUGGGAGAGGGAGUAGAGGCUCAAGCUAUGUUCAAAGAGCUGCUUUCUGAAGGUUUAAACUGCACCUAUAUUUCAUUAACUUGCUGUUCUACCUCAUGCUCUUGUCCAGAAGACCUUAGCUUUGGCUAAGCAGUUCACUCCGUUACCCUGAAAUAUGGAUUUGUGAGUGCAGUUUCAUUUGUUAACGCUUUGAUGCACAUGUACAUAUGCUACGGGGACUCACUAGCUGCCUUUCCGCUGUUGGAAAGUAUGCUGUUGGUACAAGAUAUUAUUUCACGGGAUAAAUCAAUAUUUGGCUGUCUACAGAAUGGACUACAUAGUGAUGCGUUAGAAGCCUUUCGGUUCAUGCAUUCAACUUUGGCAGUGAAUCCGGACAGCAUGACACUAGUUAGUGUUUUAUCAGCGUCUGAAACUCUUAAGCUGCAAUCUGACGGAACAUCCAUCCACUGCUUGUCACUAAAGCACUUGCUUGCAUGCAAUUAAAGGGUGAAGAAUGCCCUCUUAACCAUGUAUUUUCGGUUUGCACAUACUGAAAAUGCUGAGUUAAUCUUCUAUAGUCCCCGAGGCAGAAAUUUGUGCUCCUGGAAUUUUAUGAUCUCUGGUUUUGCACAGAAUAACAACGGUUGGAGAGCAUUACUGUUGUAUCAGAAUACGGAGAAUUGUGUACCUAAUGAAAUAUCUCUAGUCGGUAUUAUCUGUGCUAGCACUCAACUUGGGGAUAUUGGACAUGGAAAGAGCAUACAUGCGCAUGUUGUCAAGUCGUGUCUGCAAAGUAAUAUUUUUGUCUCAGCAUCAGUAGUUGAUAUGUAUAGUAAGUGCGGAAGACUUGACAUUGCUAUGAGAGGAUUUGAAUCUUCCGUGUGAAAAUCAAUUGCUUGCUGGAACUCCAUGAUAUCAGCUUUAGGAUUUCAUGGGCAUGGGUUGCAGCCAAUAGAGCUUUUCCGUGAUGUGGUUCAGUCUGGAAUGAGAGUCACAAGAAGUACUUUUAUUGCUCUUUUGUCAGCUUGCAGCCAUUCUAGGCUUACUGAUGAAGGAUGGAAGUAUUGCCAUCUUAUGUCGGAGAAAUUUGGAAUUGGAGCAGACCACCAUGUAUGCAUCGUAGACAUCCUUGGACGUGCUGGCCAGCUAGAGGAAGCAAAUGAAUUUGUGGAGAGUUCACCAUCCAAGGAAGCGCAUGGAGUUUUGUUUGCACUGUUAACUGCUUGCAGUAACAAGGCUGAACUCAAGAUGGGCGAGUCCAUCGCAAAGCAUUUGCUCUGGCUGGAGCCCGAAAAUAGUGGUUAUUAUGUUACCAUUUCUAUCCUUUAUGCAUGUCAAGCCAUGUGGGAUGGUGCAGUCCGGGUUAGGGACAUUUGUCAAGAAUAAAGGGUUGACGAAGGCCCGUGGCCAUAA
rnacentral:rRNA from 1 species